AUGGACUGAGAAAGAAAUUAGCGAAACAACACCCUUCACAAUAGUCACAAUAGAACAGAAUAUCUUGGUGUAACUCUGACCAAGCAAGUGAAAGAUCUCUAUGACAAGAACUUCAAGUCUCUGAAGAAAGAAAUCAAAGAAGACCUCAGAAGAUGAAAAGAUGCUUAUGGAUCGGUAGAUUUAACCUAGUAAAAAUGGUCAUCAUACUAAAAGCAAUCAACAGAUUCAAUGCAAUCCCCAUCAAAAUCCCAACUCAAUUCUUCACAGAGAUGGAAAGAGCAAUGCUCAAAUUCAUCUGGAAUAACAAAAAACCCAGAAUAGUGAAAAUAAUUCUCAAUAAUAAAAGAACUUUAGGGGUAAUCCCCACUCAAGACCUCAAGCUAUACUACAAAGCAAUAGUGAUAAAAACCACAUGGUAUCAGUACAGAGACAGACAGGUAAAUCAAUGGAAUAGAAUCAAAGACCCAGAAAUAUACUCAAACACCUAUGGACACUUGAUCUUUGACAAGGAAGGCAAAACCAUACAGUGGAAAAAAGACAGCAUCUUCAACAAAUGCUGCUUGUCUAACUGGCAGUCUGCAUGUACAAGGACGCAAAUUGAUCCAUUUUUAUCUCCUUAUACAAAGCUGAAGUCUAAGUGGUUCAAGGAACUCCACAUAAAACCAGAUACUCUGAAUCUAACAGAAAAGAAAGUGGGAAAGAGCCUUGAACACAUCAGCACAGGGAAAAAUUUCCUAAACAACACCAAUGGCCCAGGCCUUAAGAUCAACAAUGGGACCUCAUGAAACUGAAAAGUUUCUGUAAGGCAAAGGACACUGUCAAUUGGACAAAUGCCAACCUACAGAUUGGGAAAUAAUAUUCACUAACCCUAUAUCUGAUAGAGAGCUAAUAUCCAAAAUAUACUAAUAAUUCAAGAAGUUAGACUCCAGAAAACCAAAUAUGCCAAAUAAAAAAUGUGGUACAGAGCUAAAGAAAAAAUUCUCAACUGAGGAAUCUCAAAUGACCAAGAAACAUCUAAAGAAGUGUUCAACAUCCUUAGUCACCAGGGAAAUAUAAAUCAAGAUGACCCUGAGAUUCCACUUCACACCAAUCAGAGUGGCUAAGAUAAAAAACUCAAGUGACAGCAGAUGAGGUCGAGGAUGUGGAGAAAGAGGAACACUACUCCAUUGCUGGUGGGAUCGCAAACUCGUACAAAUACUCUGGAAAUCAAUCUGAACAUUCCUCAGAUCAUUGAAAAUAGUUCUACCUGAAUACCCAGCUAUACCACUCCUGGGCAUAUACCCAGAAGAUGCUCCAACAUAUAAGAAUGACACAUGCUCCACUAUGUUCAUAGCAGCCUUAUUUAUAAUAACUAGAAGCUAUAAAGAACCCAGAUGUCCCUCAACAGAGAAAUGUAUACUGAAAGUGUGGUACAUUUACACAAUGGAGUUCUACUCAGCUAUUAAAAACAGUGACUUCAUGAACUUCAUAGGCAAAUGGAUGGAACUUGAAAAUAUCAUCCUGAGUGAGGUAACUCAGACCCAAAGGGACAUAAAUAGUAUGUACUCACUGAUAAGUGGAUAUUAGCCCCAAAUCUCAGAAUACUCAUGAUAUAACUCACAGACCAUAUGAAUCUUAACAAGAAGGAAGGUCAAGGUGUGGAUAUUUCAAAACCAAAUAAAAGGGCAAACAAAAUAAUCAUUGGAGGCAGAGGGAGGGAGGGUCUUGGGUAGAAGGGAGGAAUGGAGGAAAAAAGUGGGAACAGGACCAGGAAUGGAAAGAAUCAUGAGAGAAGUCCAGAGGGUCAAGAGAAUGAAUAAAAGUAUGUAGUAGUGGGGGAGGGGUGAUGAACUUGGGGAACCACUAGGAAGUUCCAUAUCCCAGGGAUGGGAGAGGUUCCCAGUACCCAAUGGGGAUAAUAUUAACCAAAAUACCCAACAAUAGGAAGAAUCUAAAGAGACUACCUCCAGUAUACAUGGCUCCCAGUAGAGGAAUGGGGCCACCGACCCAUCUAAAAAUUUUUAACCCAGAAUUGUCCCCAUCUAAAGGACAAAAAUGGAGCAGAGGCUGAAGGAAAGGCCAUCUGAGAUUGCCCCACUGUGCUAUCCAUUCCAUCAGCAGACACAAAUGCCUGACACUAUUGCUGAUGCCAAGAUGUGCUUGUAGACAGGAGCCUGGUAUGGCUGUUCGCUGAGAGGCUCUGUCAGCACCUAAGACAGAUGCAGAUGCUCACAGCCAACCAUCAAAUUGAGGUCAGGAACCUUUAUCUAUGGAAGAGUUAGGGGAAGGACUGAAGGAGAUGAAGGGGAUUGUAACCCAAUAGGAAGAACAACAAUAUCAAACAACCAGACCCCUCAGAAUUCAAAGGACUAAACCACCAACCAAAGAGCAUACACCGGCUGGUCUAUGGCUCCUACUACAUAUGUAGCAGAGGA
rnacentral:lncRNA from 1 species